rnacentral:rRNA from 1 species
GACGAACGCUGGCGGCGUGCUUAACACAUGCAAGCCGAACGGAAAGGCCCUGCUUUUGUGGGGUGCUCGAGUGGCGAACGGGUGAGUAACACGUGAGUAACCUGCCCUUGACUUUGGGAUAACUUCAGGAAACUGGGGCUAAUACCGGAUAGGAGCUCCUGCUGCAUGGUGGGGGUUGGAAAGUUUCGGCGGUUGGGGAUGGACUCGCGGCUUAUCAGCUUGUUGGUGGGGUAGUGGCUUACCAAGGCUUUGACGGGUAGCCGGCCUGAGAGGGUGACCGGCCACAUUGGGACUGAGAUACGGCCCAGACUCCUACGGGAGGCAGCAGUGGGGAAUAUUGCACAAUGGGCGGAAGCCUGAUGCAGCAACGCCGCGUGCGGUAUGACGGCCUUCGGGUUGUAAACCGCUUUCGCCUGUGACGAAGCGUGAGUGACGGUAAUGGGUAAAGAAGCACCGGCUAACUACGUG